ensembl:snRNA U6 U6 spliceosomal RNA
CUCUGCUUUGGCAGUGCAUUACUGAAAUUAGAGCCAUUCGGAGAAGAUUAGCAUGGUCCCUGCACAAUGAUGAUAUGCAAAUUUGUGAAGCAGUCUAUGUUUUA